UCAAUAGAGGGAGGGAACCCAUGAUCAACUGGGAAACUUUGUACACAUUAAUACUCAAACAGGGAAAAGAAGAAAAGUUUCAGAUUUCAAACCCAUCUCAAUAUAUUUCUUCUUUUUUUAUCCUCACAGAGUACCCAAACGAGAUGAUGCUGGAAGGUUUUCUAGAAGAUGGAAGUGGUAACCUCUGGCCAACUGCUUCCACCUUCAUCAUUCUCUUCUUCCUGAGUAUUUUAUACAGCGCAGCCAUCACUCUAAUUAAGGUAAUAUGAGCUUCUUAACAUCAGCUUCACCGAUGGUCCUGGUCAGUUUGUGUUUAAUAUCAAUGUCUUGCGAAAGAUGAUGUGAUAUGCUCCCCCCGCACCUCUCAGACCUCCUAACCCCCGACCAUCUUGUUUGCUCCCUCUGGUCAGUGGGCUCCAGCUGACAUCACGUCCCCAUUCUUGCUCACCUCACUAUUGGUAGGCGGACAAUCUGCCACUCUGCCCCCACCCUCUGGAACUCCAUCCCGCAGUCCCUCAGCCUCACCCCCUCCCUCGCCACCUUUAAGACCCACCUCAAGACCCUCCUCUUCGACCGUGCUUUUGAUCUCCCUGCUUCUCCCCCUGUCCUCCACAUUGUCCCCACCCCAAUCCCCAGCUCAGGUCCGUAAGUCUGUCUGUCCAGCACCUUGGGACGUCCUCUCAACAUGAAAGGCGCUGUACAAAUGUAAUCUUGUUGUUGUUGAUCUCUUUUUUCACCCAUUGUACAAAUUCGAUGGAAGUAAACAUUGUAUUGUGCAACUUCGUGAACUUUAGUGACUUUCCUUAUUGUUAGUUUAUUUUGCAAUGUGCCUUUUGGUCAUAAUAAUUAAUGUUGGUAUUUCAUAUAACGUCCCUCACGUGUCUCUGAUAUUCUUUAUUUGCUGUUUAACAUUUGUGUGGUGUAACGAUCCAGAAAUACGGUGGCUGAGCUACUCUGCCCUUUGAUUUUAAUCUGAAGUUGAUCUUUUGUGUUCUGAUCCUGUUUGAAAAGUCUACAGAUUCUGUGUAUUGUUUGCCUGAAAUAUCAAUAAAAGUGAUCAAAC